rnacentral:rRNA from 1 species
UCAAAAACAUGUCCUUUUGUAGAUAAUUUAAGGUCUAGCCUGCCCACUGAUAUUUUAAAUGGCCGUGGUAUUUUGACCGUGCUAAGGUAGCAUAAUCAUUAGUUUUUUAAUUAAAAACUGGAAUGAAAGGUUGGAUGAGAAAAUAGCUGUCUCUAUUAAAUUUAAUUAGAAUUUUAUUUUUAAGUUAAAAAGCUUAAUUAUUAUUAAAAGACGAGAAGACCCUAUAGAGUUUAAUUAUUUAAUAAAAAUUAUAUUUUAGUAUUAAUUUAUUUAUUUUAUUGAAUAAUUUAAUUGGGGUGAUUGAAAAAUUUAAUUAACUUUUUUUAUUUAAAAACAUUAAUUUAUGAAUAAAUGAUCCGAUAUUUUUGAUUAUAAGAUAAAAUUACCUUAGGGAUAACAGCGUAAUUUUUUUAGAAAGUUCAUAUUAAAAAAAAAGAUUGCGACCUCGAUGUUGGAUUAAAAUAAAUUUUUGGUGUAGAAGCUAAAAUAUUAGGUCUGUUCGACCUUUAAAAUUUUACAUGAUCUGAG